UUUGCUACAAGUUCCUUUGCAUAAGCUUCAAACUUUGCAAAGGUAGCAUAAAUGUCAUCUUGCAUGACUAUCUUGACCUCGCAUACAAAAAAAAGAAUACUUUAGUAGCACUGCGCUAGAUAAAAAAUAUUAAACAAGAAUAUAACUAAAAAGAUAAAGAAAUAGAAAAGGAAAAUGAAGAUGAAACAAAAAUAAAAAAAGUAAACAUCGCCUUG
rnacentral:lncRNA from 1 species